CUGGAAAGGCGGACGGCAGUAGC
rnacentral:piRNA from 1 species